GCAGCAUCUAGGGUUGAGUGUUUACAGC
rnacentral:piRNA from 1 species